rnacentral:rRNA from 1 species
UACGGGGGGGGCAAGCGUUGUUCGGAAUUACUGGGCGUAAAGGGUUCGUAGGUGGCCUGCUAAGUCAGACGUGAAAUCCCUCAGCUUAACUGGGGAACUGCGUCUGAUACUGGUGGGCUUGAGUGCAGGAGAGGAACGCGGAAUUCCAGGUGUAGCGGUGAAAUGCGUAGAUAUCUGGAGGAACACCGGUGGCGAAGGCAGCACUCUGGGACGUGACUGACGCUGAGACGCGAAAGCGUGGGGAGCAAACAGG